UACGUAGGGUGCAAGCGUUAUCCGGAUUUACUGGGCGUAAAGCGUUCGUAGGCGGAUUGGUGUGUGAGAUGUUAAAGCCCGCGGCUCAACUGCGGAAAGGCAUCUCAAACUGCCAGUAUAGAGUAUGUUCGGGGAAACUAGAAUUCUCGGUGGAGGGGUGAAAUCCGUUGAUAUCGAGAGGAAUGCCAAGGGCGAAAGCAUGUUUCUAGGGCAUUACUGACGCUGAGGGACGAAAGCUAGGGUAGCAAACCGG
rnacentral:rRNA from 1 species